AGUUGCUGCAGACAUCUGUAGGUUGGCAGAUUAAUACAUAAUAUGGAGGAAAACAUUUGACAGUGAUUUGGGAGAGGUAGUUUCCUCAUGGUGAGGACAUAUAAGCAGUAUUUUCUGGUGUGAAAUAUUUUUAAAAAUAUAAACCAUACUUUUGUCUCUGGGGCAUCAAAACAUCAAAGCAAUAUUAGAUCCAUAUACUGGAAAAAAGUUAUGUGCCUCAAAGAUUUUUUUUGCAUUCCAUUGCAAAACUUUCUGACUUCCCAGUGAUUGUUUCUGUACUUAGUAAGAAUACUCUGUAAAAUGCUGAGAAGCUGUAUUUCUUUAUCCAGUGGGCCUUCCCUUAACAAUAGCAAUAAAUAAGUAAGCCUCUCCUUAUGCUCUUAAAAAUACAUUUUGACAAUACAUCAGUUUUAUAAUCGGUACAAGAGGCUUAUGAUGCAGGUCCUGGGUAUAUUGGGGAUAAAAUAUUCCCAAAAGCUACUAUUUUAUUAUGUUAAAAACAGCAUUAAGUGACACUUACGAGUAUUUUUCAUUUAGCAUUUUAGAUGGAGAGAUUCACUUUGUAAAUGAGAUGGAUAAUUAGUAGAGCAUUUUUAACUUGCUAAAAAUAACUGCAGCUCGCCAACAACAAGUACAGUAAUUAAGAGAAAAAGCCAAUACACAGAUUUAAAAAAACAAACUCAUUAUCAUGAGUGUUUAUUUUCAGCAACACCUGCCUCCACACAUCAUUGUGGGAUCUAUUUAUGAAAACUUCACCAAAUCCUGAGGAGGCAACUGGGUACAUUUUCAGAAAGAUUUGUCAGUUUCAUUCAGGAUGUACUUGACUUUGACUUUGAAUAAUUCUUAACAUUAUUGAUGAUACAGUGUCAUCCCUGUCGCUACAGCAGUUUCACUAAAAGUCCCAGCUGAAGGUCCGCAAGGGACAGUCUCAAUGUCAGGAAAUGAAAAUGAGAAUAAUUCAUGCCAAGGCUCUCCAUCACACCAGUGGGAGGGAUGAAUAAACCAGCGCACUGAGCCUAACUCACCUACAAUCAAGGACGAGGCCUCAAACUCAUGGAGCCGCUGACGGUGUCACCCUGACCCUGAUCCUGUUUUAAGCUUAUAACUAAUAACUUCUACUUUGUUACAGAGUCACUCCCUCCUCCACCUCUCCCACUCAUCCUCCCUUCACAUCACAAUGAAACCAACUGAGGAUCAAGAUGUUACCUGUAAUGAACAGGCAUUAAAAGACCUUUGCAUCAUGGAUGCCACCAGACACCAUCAGAAAAACACCGCCUCCCUCUCCUCCUGCUCUGCGCAACACACACCUGCCAGCACCAAAGUGGGACACCUGGAAUUGCAUAAACAAAACCGAAGCUGGGAGAAACCUCACAGUAUUGUAAGCAGGACGCCAAUGGAUUUCCUUAGGAGAGUAAGUAGCUGUUCACCCUUCAAUGUCGCAUUUUAAGCAUGUAAUCAAGUCCAGAAUAAUUGAAUACGUGGCGAGCAUGCCAAGGUAUGGAGGUUGGGAGAAUUAGGAGGAAAGGAGAGGAAACAAGAAGAUGAGAAAAACAGAGGGAGAUUGAGGUGAGGGUAAAUGAAGAGGAGAGCGGAAGAAACAAUGAGAGGAAAGAAGACAAGAAGAAGAGACGAAACAAGAGGAGAAGAAAAUAGAGAAGAAACAAGGUGUGGAGAGGAACAAAGGGGAAGAUUUGAGAUGAGGAAAGAGGA